UACGGAGGGGGCCAGCGUUGUUCGGAAUCAUUGGGCGUAAAGGGCGCGUAGGCGGCUUCUCAAGUCGAACGUGAAAUCCCCCGGCUCAACCGGGGACCUGCGUCCGAUACUGUGAAGCUUGAGUCCCGGAGAGGGUAGUGGAAUUCCCAGUGUAGCGGUGAAAUGCGUAGAUACUGGGAGGAACACCGGUGGCGAAGGCGGCUACCUGGACGGGUACUGACGCUGAGGCGCGAGAGCUAGGGGAGCAAAC
rnacentral:rRNA from 1 species